rnacentral:rRNA from 1 species
AUGUGUGCAUAUCUUAGAUCUCCUAUCAAGCCAACACUCUCAUAAGCCUUACUUUCAAAUCCACCUUCCGUCUCCUUUACAGUCAACCUCCGUAUAAAUGGCUUUAUUGUAACUCACCUUUCCUUAAACAUAAACUACACCUUGACCUGUCAUCUUUUCUAUAAACAUCUUGAACAUCACUUCCCAACAUCUCCUUAUGACGGCGGUAUAUAGGCCUGAAUUUAAGUUAGUUAAAAUGGGGACUAUCAAUUAAAAGACAAGUUCCUCUGAUAAGAUAAAAUACCGCCAAAUUCUUAGAGUUUACU